rnacentral:rRNA from 1 species
CCUACGGGGUGCAGCAGUGGGGAAUAUUGGGCAAUGGGCGCAAGCCUGACCCAGCAACGCCGCGUGAAGGAAGAAGGCCCUAGGGUUGUAAACUUCUUUUGUCAGGGAAGAAGAAAGUGACGGUACCGGACGAAUAAGCCACGGCUAACUACGUGCCAGCAGCCGCGCUAAUACGUAGGUGGCAAGCGUUAUCCGGAUUUACUGGGUGUAAGGGAGGUGUAGGGGGGAUUGUAAUGCAGAUGUGAAGUUCCAGUGCUCAACCCUGGACCUGCAUUUGAAACUGUAGUUCUUGAGUGUUGGAGAGGCAGGCGGAAUUACGUGUGUAGCGGUGAAAUGCGUAGGGAUACGGAGGAACACCAGUGGCGAAGGCGGCCUGCUGGACAUUAACUGACGCUGAGGCGCGAAAGCGUGGGGAGCAAACAGGAUUAGAUACCCGAGUAGUC